rnacentral:rRNA from 1 species
AACGGCCGCGGUAUCCUGACCGUGCGAAGGUAGCGUAAUCAUUUGUCUUUUAAAUAGAGACCUGUAUGAAUGGCAUAACGAGGGUUUAACUGUCUCCUUCCCCUAGUCAAUGAAAUUGAUCUGCCCGUGCAGAAGCGGACAUAAAUACAUAAGACGAGAAGACCCUAUGGAGCUUUAGACAAAAGAUCAAACAUGUAAAGAAACCAAGUUAACCAAAAGGAACACAAAGGCCACGAAACCCGACGUAAACUGAUCCAAAUGUUUUCGGUUGGGGCGACCAUGGGGGAGAAAAAAGCCCCCACGAGGAACAGGGACUAAUCCCUAAGCCAAGAGAGACAUCUCUAAGCAACAGAAAAUCUGACCAAAAGUGACCCAGAAUACUAAUUCUGAUCAACGAACCAAGUUACCCUAGGGAUAACAGCGCAAUCCUUUCCCAGAGUCCAUAUCGACGAAAGGGUUUACGACCUCGAUGUUGGAUCAGGACAUCCUAAUGGUGCAGCCGCUAUUAAGGGUUCGUUU